rnacentral:rRNA from 1 species
UACGAAGGGGGCUAGCGUUGUUCGGAAUUACUGGGCGUAAAGCGCACGUAGGCGGGUCGUUAAGUCAGGGGGUGAAAUCCCGGAGCUCAACUCCGGAACUGCCUUUAAGACUGCAUCGCUUGAACGUCGGAGAGGUAAGUGGAAUUCCGAGUGUAGAGGUGAAAUUCGUAGAUAUUCGGAAGAACACCAGUGGCGAAGGCGACUUACUGGACGACUGUUGACGCUGAGGUGCGAAAGCGUGGGGAGCAAACAGGG